rnacentral:lncRNA from 10 species
UCUGACUGACUCCUUCCCAGAUCUUCUUGGCUUAGCGGCUGAAGACUGACGCUGCCUGAUUGCCUCGGAAGCCUACAGGACUAUCACAGACGCUGAGCUUCAGGUAACUCUCACAGUGGAGACAGACACCAUGGAUGCACAGAGAGACCAGUUUUUCUGCACUGGCAAAAUCCUACUGAAUUUUCGGAGAAAGACUGAGAAACCACCAUAGACCAGAAAAGACUGAGGAGAUCAGACAGCUAAAUGCAAUGUGGUACUUGAAUUGAAUUCUGGAACGGGACAAGGACAUUAAUGAAAAACUGUUGAAAGUUGAAGUCUGGAAUUUAGUUAAUUGUAAUGUAUCCAUGUCAGUUUUUA